rnacentral:rRNA from 1 species
GUUAGGAAUAUUCGUCAAUGGGGGAAACCCUGAACGAGCAAUGCCGCGUGAACGAUGAAGGCCCUAUGGGUUGUAAAGUUCUGUUGCAUGGGACGAACGAUUAGGAUAGGAAAUGAUCUUAAUGUGACGGUACCAUGCCAGAAAGCUCCGGCUAACUACGUGCCAGCAGCCGCGGUAAUACGUAGGGAGCAAGCGUUAUCCGGAUUUAUUGGGCGUAAAGGGUGCGUAGGCGGCUUGUUAAGUAUGAGAUUAAAGCCCGAGGCUUAACCUCGGUUCGUUUCAUAAACUGGCAGGCUUGAGUGUGGCAGAGGUAAACGGAAUUUCUAGUGUAGCGGUUAAAUGCGUAGAUAUUAGAAGGAACACCAGUGGCGAAGGCGGUUUACUGGGCCAUAACUGACGCUGAGGCACGAAAGCGUGGGGAGCAAAUAGGAUUAGAAACCCUAGUAGUCC